GGUAACAAGGGAGAAAUGGACUACAUUUUGCAUUCAGGAACAACUCUUUCUGACUUAGUUUAUAAACAACGUAUAAACCAUUAGUUUCCCUGUGCACCCAACUGUUUUUUCAGGUGAGCAAGAAAUUGUGGUUCCUACUUGCAGAAUGUCGUCCAAUUGUACUUAGGUGUUUUUAGCAUGAGUUUGGGUGUUUACGGGAAUGCUGGCUGCAACGAGGUGCAAGAGGAAUUCGAAAGAAACCUCUCUGCCCUCCGCGAGUUCGUCACCAGUUCCGUUUGCCGAAUUUCGAAUUUCUCUCGUGUUGAAACAACGCCGAGAGACAAUCCUCGUCUCGAGGUCAGAACUACCCUCGACGAUCAGCAAGGAGGCUUCAACCACCCGAUAUAAAUACUAAUUACCACCGAUCGGGGCCCAUUUCAGUUUGGCACUCAUACAGAGUGCGACAGUGAGCAGUGUUUCUACCAAAAGGAUAACCUCCCUUCAAAAUGAAUCGGUAUAAACUAUCGAUCGUGCUCCUGCUCUUGAGCACGGUGGCCAUUGCGCUGGCCAAUGAGGCCAACGAAGAGGCCUUGAAGGACGCAGAUUCAGACUCCACCCACACGGGUGCCGAGCCUCAGAAGCGCUCCCUCAAGAAGUUCAAAAAGCUCAAAAAGCUGGCACUCCUCAAGAAAAAAGGUCCGUGGUUCCUUCCUGAGUUCGAGGUUGAAGAGGUCAAAGAAACUUCACCUCUCCCCGUGUUUAAAGUACACAAAUACGCCGGGAUCGAAGUCAAGCCUAUCCCACCACCCCGCCACCACCACCCCCACCGCCCGCAGUCUACGGACCACCAUCCCCACCACCAACCGUCUACGGACCACCCGAAGCCGCCGCAGCAGCCGUAGCUACCUCCGAAGGCAAAGGAAACCCCGACCUGGCAAUCCUCGACUCCCUGGGCCCCCUCGUCUCCGGCGAAGGCGGCGUGGAUCUAUCCGCUCUUUUGAGCAUCGCUGGCAGCGGUGAAAUCCCGUUGGAAGCCAUCGAAACCCUCUCCCAAAUCGCCAAGACCAACCCCAAACUCGUGGCCAGCAUCGUAAACGGACUGAAGAACCCCAAGAAGGCCAAAAAAGCUGGCAUCAUCGCUGCUUUGCUGAAACUCAAGGCCAAAAAGAAGCUCCUGAAGAAGAAGCCACUGAAACUCUUGGCCAAGGGAGUCGCCGCCAAGGCCGCCAUCACCAAGAAGAAGCUCUUCGCCCCCUUCGCUUUGGUGGCCGCUGAGGGCGCCAAGGUCGCAUCCGCAGUCUCCUCCAUCCCCUCCAACAUCGCCGGCUACAUCUGGCCCGAAGAAGAGACCGGACCCUACGAGGCCGAGCUCCCCUCCCCGCAAGAAGUUUCACCCCUCUUCUCCCUUGAAGCCCUAUCACCCCUCCCUGGUCUCCCACUCCUGAAAUUCCCCGGUAAAUACAAGCUCAAGAAGCACCACCCUUACGUCAGCGUUAAGCUCCCAACCACCCAUCAACCCGCACCUCCCCCACCACCACCCACACCAGCGCCCGUCUACGGACCUCCACCGCCAGUAGAGCCCGUCCCCGUCUAUGGUCCCCCUCCACCACCACCACCACCACCACCUCCACCACCAGCACCCCCCGUAGAUGUUUACGGCCCACCCCAAGCCCCAGCAGCCACCUACGGCGUGCCCUCUGCCCUUGCCCCCGGUACCCAUCUCGAACCCCCUCCACUACCCUUGGAUACCCCCAGACAAGUAGCAGCCGCCGCUGCAGUUGACUCCUACCAAGUUCCAAUUGCUGUCUACGCCCAAGGCCAGCGCUUCAUCACCCCGGCCGGCACGACGCUGACCGCACCCGCCUACUACAACGUCGACUCAUUCUUGGCAGCCUCGGAGAACGAUGAGGUGAAGGCAGAAGGCGACGAAGGCCACGAGGAGGUUGAAGAGAUCGAGCACGUGGUGGCACGAGGAAACCACAGCGAGCACGCCGAACACGGAAAGCAGACGGCUCAUGCUUUGCCAUCCCACAAUGUCCACCAUGUCCAGGCUGAGCGUGAACACCAUGCUCACCACGCUGAACACGCUCAGCGUGCUGAACACGAGCAUGAGGCUGUCCACGCCGAGCACGAACCCGUGCAAAAUGCCAGACCGGUGACGAAUCAAAUGAGGAGGUCGCCACCUCCGGCCGAGCAGAAGCACGAACAGCAGCCAGAGCAGUUUGUGCGAGGAGAAGUUUUCGUCGUUCCUCUUAACCAUGCUACCGAGGACACACAUCAACAGGAGCAUGCCAGUGAAGAAUCAAAUUCUGGAUCUCAUUAAUUUUGAGAUUCCCCAGCAAUGAUGCCAUAUCAUUAAUUUAAUGUAAAUAUUUUUUAAAUUUUUAUUUAUUUCUUAAUUUUAGCUGUAGGAUUAAUUACUUUCCUAGGAUCCUCUGUUUCCCUUGUAAUUCACUUUUUUUCAAAAUUAUUUUUUUGACAUUCAACGAAGUUGACUAUUCUCCAUGAUAAAUAAAUGAAUCUGUAUGCUGUGUCCGUUCAGAUAAAUAUUCUGCCGAGAAAUAAAAUUAAUUUUACAUAACUAUACCUCCACCCUGUGCCCUGUGGCUCAUCAACAAGCAAGGUUGCGUGACUUUCUUUCCCCAAAACCAUGUAUUGCAGACAAAAAGUAACGGGUUUAUACACGUCUUUUAUAUGCCUAUGGUCAUCAUAUAAUUCCAAAUAUUUGCCUCACUUUGAGUAUUUCAUCAAUGUAACUACCCUUGCGAGUGGAUCUUCAUGAAAUAGCAAAAUGAUUUCUCCUGAAAAAUUCAUGAAACAAUAAUGAAAAUAGAAUCGUACAAAUGGUAAUGAAGUUCCAUAUUUCAAAAGUUAAUAUGCAUUGAAUAUAAUGAGAUAGAUUUCAUUUUGACCUUGCGGUCAAAAUCCAUCAUUAUUAUUUUUUGCCUCAGUUCAAAAGAUGCUUUUAGAAUCUCGGUAACUAGGUAUUUUGUGCAAAACUAUACUUAGUACGAUAUAAAAGCUACUUUUAGGGUACAACUGAAAACUUUCUAAACUUGAAAUUGCCUCAAGUUUUAGUCAAAGGUAAGUCUUGAUUUGCUUUAGUAAUUAAAUUAUUUGUUACUUUGCUGAACCACUCAGUCUAGAGAGAUGUCAGCAAAAGCCGUAAAACCCCUCAGGUCAGAAUAGACUGUGAGCUUUGAAAAAAAAAAUUAUCUCCUCAAUAAUAAGUAUAAUCAACUUCAUAGAAAUAUUUGCCGUGAAAGCAAAGAGUUCCAAACCAAAUCUGCUUAAAAUGAUCUCCAAAAAAACAUAUGUAUACUUUUUUAUGUGAUAAUCAUAAUGAAUUUUGAGUUAGGUAUGUCAAAAUUCCAGUUUCGGAGUCCGCAAAUUUUACAUGUUUAUUAAAGCAUAUUGCUAAUUUCUUAAUCUAAAAACAUAGUUUACUUUCGCACUGAUUGGUAUGCUAAUAAUUUUGAAUCGACUUUUACGUCUGUUAAUAUUGUGAUAAAGCUUAUUCAAUUUUUAACCCAUGACUAGAAUUGCUGAAUAGGUCUACUGCACACAAGAGGUACAGCCAAUGGGAUUGACAUUCUUCAGGUAAAAUCGUACGUAAAUCACUAUAGGCAUAACAAAAAAUUCUGAAGCCACAGCGUGUAAUAUGCGUUGUGUGUAAUUUGCUUUUUCAAAUUUUCUGCGUCAUGAGCAGUUAUUCACUUGAUAAAUCCUAACCCAAUUGAACAAAAAAAUCUCAAAAUUGUUUUUCUCUCGCGUAUGACCUCAAUCGUUUUUCAGCGUUUAUGUCCUUCUCAUUUUUUGCAUCUUGUUUUGCAAAAUCAAAAAUCUUGAAUCAAUUGAAGUCAUAUGUGGGAAAUUUUUGUGAUAGUUCUCGAGAUGAGUGGUUACUUUAAGGUCAGGUUUUUUGCGUCUCUCUCCGGACAAAAUUUAUAACCGGCCACUAAGAAAAACUUUCCGCAGAUGCAGAAGUCUUACUAACUACUUAAAAUAAAUAAUUUUUAGAUUCUAUAUAAAAUCAUGUUCUAAAUUCCUAGUUAUUAUAAAAUAAUUUCAUCAAAAAUUGUUUUACUUAUUGUGAGGUGUGGAUUUUAGAAUUUUUUGCAGUGACAAUCGUGAUUUUUAAACAAUUUUAUCCACGGAAAGGCUAUUCAUUCAUUUGUAACUCUUGCGAGCAAACGACCCGUUUUAUUUAUUAUCAACAAAUUCAAUUCUUGGCUCCAAGAACUUUUCCUCUUAAAGUGAAUUCAAUCCAAGUCAUAUCAUUAUGUUCUAAGUUAAGUUUUAAAGUAAAAUACGCACUCCUCUCUCUUAAAAAUUUUAAAAACUUGAAUUUUUAGUGUAAUACAUGUACUCAGGUGCUGACCAUUCUCUGAUGUGUAUGCCUACUCAUAAGAUAAAUACAUUUUC
rnacentral:lncRNA from 1 species